UCUUAAGUAGUUUAUCUAAAAUAAUGAUUUGUGGCAUCAUAGAAGUAUUUUAUAUACCUUAGGUA
rnacentral:tRNA from 1 species